rnacentral:lncRNA from 1 species
AUCACAUUUCAGACAUGAUUUAAUGUUUACAUGGCGUGAUACACAACGCAAAAUAGUUGUAACUAAUGCCUCGUUUGUAAUGGGUUUUAUUGGUUUUGUCUGGUCAUGCCGGGAGACAGCUUCACAGUAUGGUGAGGGGCGUAACAUUUCCCUCACACGCUCAAGGUAUUCAGCCAAUCACAAUGCACUGGAAAGCUGGCCAAUCAGAGCACAUCUUGCUUUUCAGAAUGAUGAGCUUUGUAAAAAAAAAUGACGCUUUUCUGAAAGACAUAGAGGAAAAACAAUAAUUUACAAUAUGUGGAAAAGUUUUUUUUUUUUUUGUUUUUUUUUUACCUUAAACCACAAACAUAUUUCAAUACACCAAAUAAUGCUCUUUUUAGCAACAUCAUAUGACCCUUUUAAAUGAGAUUACUAGCUGAGACAAAGGCAGCUUGGACUUGGGAUGUUGGGUUGUGUUUGGUUUGUAUUGGUUUGAGCACUUUUACAUUGCUACAACAGCACAUUACACCAGUUCAGCUUUACACACUGAUGAUGCUGACGAUUUCAGAAAUCUUGUUUUAUUUUCCGAUGUGUUUUGUUCCAUUAUAGUGAUUUACUUUUGAGCUCAAAGCCUUUCUUAUUGAGCCUUAUGCCUGCAUGUGUUCCUCCUUUUGUUGCUUCCCUUAAAGCAGGGGUUUUAACAAUGUUUGCAUUUCUAACAUGUCUCACUAUUUCUUCAAUCUGCUAAUGAAACCACUUUCAGACAAUAACAUUUUUUAACAAAGAAGAAGAUAACAAACUGAAGACUGAAAAUGUAGAAAUACGAUAUUUGUCAUGGUUGGUAAACCGUGAUCUCGGGUCGUUUACACUUUGUGGUGAAUUCUGUGUGUUCCGCGUCUGCACUGAUUAGUUGUGGGCAUCUCCGUUAAUUGUAUCAGCAACAGCUGCCACUCAUUACUAAUCUCCUAUAUAAUGGCUUGUCUCACGUCUUGUGUUUGUGAGAUCGUUGUUUCAUGUCAUGGUGUUUACCCCCGUCUGGCUUCUGUGUAGUUUGUGUUUGGAUGUCUGUGUUUCCCCAGAACCUCAUCCACUCUCCGCACGAUCACUCAGCCACGGACACCACUCAGCCACGGACACUUACCUUCGGCUCUGUUCCCCCGCAGUUCCUGUGCCACUCUCUCCUGCUGCCUCACGCCGUCAACACCCGGACUCCUCACCUGCACUCCAUUACCGUCUGGACUUCUCACCGCCUUAAUCAUCCCUCUGGAGUGUUCCCGUAUCAUCAUCUUUGUGUGUCUUUGUACAAUAUCUCAUCAUCUCAUUAAACCUUGUUAACUCGCUAUUGUUUCCAGACUGUCCUUUCACCAGCCGUCACAAUAUUAAAGUAAAAGUUUAAAAUUGGAAUAAGUCUAAAGUGAUCAUGUAGUGUCAGACAGUAAUGUAUUAAUAAUAAUGAAUAAAGAAAAAUGUAUUAAUGUU